rnacentral:rRNA from 1 species
UACGUAGGGGCCAAGCGUUGUCCGGAUUUAUUGGGCGUAAAGAGCUCGUAGGUGGUUCGGCAAGUCAGUUGUGAAAUCUCCGCGCUCAACGCGGAGGGGUCAGCUGAAACUGCUGUGACUUGAGUCUGGUAGGGGAGUGUGGAAUUCCCGGUGUAGCGGUGAAAUGCGCAGAUAUCGGGAAGAACACCUAUGGCGAAGGCAGCUCCCUGGGACGGUACUGACGCUGAGACGCGAAAGCGUGGGGAGCGAACAGG